rnacentral:rRNA from 1 species
AGUGAACGCUGGCGGUAGGCCUAACACAUGCAAGUCGAACGGCAGCACAGUAAGAGCUUGCUCUUCCGGGUGGCGAGUGGCGGACGGGUGAGGAAUACAUCGGAAUCUACUUUUUCGUGGGGGAUAACGUAGGGAAACUUACGCUAAUACCGCAUCCGACCUACGGGUGAAAGCAGGGGAUCUUCGGACCUUGCGCGAUUGAAUGAGCCGCUGUCGGAUUAGCUAGUUGGCGGGGUAAAGGCCCACCAAGGCGACGAUCCGUAGCUGGUCUGAGAGGAUGGUCAGCCGCACUGGAACUGGGACACGGUCCAGACUCCUACGGGAGGCAGCAGUGGGGAAUAUGGGACAGUGGGCGCAAGCCUGAUCCAGCCAUACCGCGUGGGAGAAGAAGGCCUUCGGGUUGUAAAGCCCUUUUGUUGGGAAAGAAAAGCAGCAGGUUAAUACGCAGCUGUUCUGACGGUACCCAAAGAAUAAGCACCGGCUAACUUCGUG